GCGACUGUAGUUCAAUGGAUAGAAUGGAGGUUUGCGGAACCUUUGAUCCCAGUUCAACUCUGGGCAGUCGCACAA
rnacentral:tRNA from 1 species